rnacentral:rRNA from 1 species
UACGAAGGGGGCUAGCGUUGUUCGGAAUUACUGGGCGUAAAGCGCGCGCAGGCGGCUAUCCAAGUCAGUGGUGAAAGCCCGGAGCUCAACUCCGGAACUGCCAUUGAAACUGUUUAGCUUGAGGAUGAGAGAGGUGAGUGGAAUUCCCAGUGUAGAGGUGGAAUUCGUAGAUAUUGGGAAGAACACCGGUGGCGAAGGCGGCUCACUGGCUCAUUACUGACGCUCAGGCGCGAUAGCGUGGGGAUCAAACAGG